UACGAAGGGGGCUAGCGUUGCUCGGAAUCACUGGGCGUAAAGCGCACGUAGGCGGAUCUUUAAGUCAGAGGUGAAAAUCCCAAGGCUCAACCUUGGAACUGCCUUUGAUACUGGGGAUCUCGAGUCCGGAAGAGGUGAGUGGAACUCCGAGUGUAGAGGUGAAAUUCGUAGAUAUUCGGAAGAACACCAGUGGCGAAGGCGGCUCACUGGGUCCGGUACUGACGCUGAGGUGCGAAAGCGUGGGGAGCAAACAGGG
rnacentral:rRNA from 1 species